rnacentral:rRNA from 1 species
CAACUCUUAGCAAUGGAUAUCUUGGUUCCCACAACGAUGAAGAACGCAGCGAAAUGCGAUACGUAAUGCGAAUUGCAGGACUCAGUGAAUCAUCGAAUCUUUGAACGCAUGUUGCGCUUUCGAGAGCCCUCGGAAGCAUGCCUCUCUGAGUAUCGGUUUCUAUC